GUAAAUAUACUUAUGGUGCUGGGCUGUGAGCAAGGAUAAAGUCUUAUGUGGAUUUUUGCAUGCAGUGCAUUUUACUGGAGGCCAGUAGCCACAGGAUUCGGCAUACACUGAAUCUCUCAUUAAGAAAUGUGAGGAAUGAAUAGUACACAUUGUCCCACAGCUUUGAUACAUCAUUCAGUUCCCUCACUGACAGACUUGUUAAUCUUUCAGUGUUGCCUUUCGAAAAGACAAACACAGCAGAUAAAUUUAGAGAUUGGCCACAUCCCCUCCCAUAGGAAGUCUCACCACAUGGGCAAUUCUUUUGGUCAAAGAAAACAGCAAGCUAAUUUAUAGGAAACAACUAAUCGGAAGGACAUGUGUGGCUGAGUUUUAAUUUUAAACCCGGGUUCGAUCCUGAUGACGGAUGCUGUCUGUACAGUUUAUACGUUCUUCCCAUGAUUUCUGUGGGUUUUCUCUGGGUGUUCCAGUUUCUUCCCAUACCCCAAUGACGUACAGGAAGGACGAUGAUAGCGAUGUCAACAUUCGGGCGGCAAGUUGGCACAGCGGUGGAGUUGCUGCCUUACCGCGCUUGCAGCGCCAGAGACCCAGGUUUGAUCCCGACUAUGGGUGCUGUCUGUAUGGAAUUUGUACGUUCUCCUUGUGACCUCCUCCGAGAUCUUCGGUUUCCUCCCACACUCCAUAGACGUACAGACACUGACGGACUUACUGAACACUUGCAGCAUUUUCUCGACAUAUUGACUAAAACGGAAUUUGGCUGUAAUCCUCAAGCAGGCCUGGAAACCUUUGGGGAGAGGAGUAAUUAAGGUUUCAAGUCGACGAUGGGUUAUCUGUCGUUUUAAUAUUGCUGAUGGACUCUACAUUCGCUAAAAUCCCCGAUAAUUAAUUAAUGGAAAAUUAAAUAUUAGUCUUGUAAUUCCAACAAUUUAUUUAGUCCUACGGCUUUUGGUUGAAAAGGGUAGAUAGAUUUUCCAGUUCCACAAAAUAUAAUAACGUGCAGAUUACUACGUGGUCUGGUCAAUUUUCCUGUAACCACUUCAUCCAAGGCAUUGGGCUGAGGAAUGUAUUAUUCGAUGUUAUAUGUGCUUACAUUUGAAGUGAUUUUGUUCCAUUGUCCUGGUGUAUGUAUGUAAAAGCGGGCUUUAAAAGAUCAUCUUUUCCUGACUUUUGCCUGUUCAGAAGUGCUGUAUGACCAUAUGACCAAUAAAAUAUCUUUGAUGUUCAA